GUUUUUAUUUAUCACUUAUGUACCAUUUGACCUGGUGCAGAGAUGAUAAAAAUGAUGGAGUCAUCAAUGCAGUAUUACUUAGUGUGAAUUUGACUUAAAGUCACUAUUCCAUUAUGGUAUAAUGUAGUAUGACAAAAUCACCAAAUGACGAAAUCCUCAACGGACUGUUAAAUACAGUGCGGCAUCAUGACGUCAUUCUCAAAAAUGUUUUUAUUGAAAGAAAUUUUCCAAACCAAAUUGUUUUGCUGCGGAAUCAAGUAAGACUGAGCAGAAUAACCUUUUAUAUAAAGGGAAUAUUUUAAUUUGAGUAUCUUUGAUAGAUACCCGAGAAAUUUGAGUAUCUUUGAUAGAUACCCGAGAAAAUAAGUUCAUGAUC
rnacentral:lncRNA from 1 species